rnacentral:rRNA from 1 species
UACGUAGGUGCAAGCGUUGUCCGGAUUUACUGGGCGUAAAGGAUGCGUAGGCGGACAUUUAAGUCAGAUGUGAAAUACCCGAGCUUAACUUGGGUGCUGCAUUUGAAACUGGGUGUCUAGAGUGCAGGAGAGGUAAGUGGAAUUCCUAGUGAGCGGUGAAAUGCGUAGAGAUUAGGAAGAACACCGUGGCGAAGGCGACUUACUGGACUGUAACUGACGCUGAGGCAUGAAAGCGUGGGGAGAAACAGG